AACGAACGCUGGCGGCGCGCCUAAUACAUGCAAGUCGAGCGAGAAGGUGUAGCAAUACACUUGUAAAGCGGCGAACGGGUGAGGAAUACAUGGGUAAUCUACCAUCGAGUGGGGAAUAACCAACCGAAAGGUUGGCUAAUACCGCGUACGCCUCCGAGUCUUCGGGUUCGGAGGGAAGGCUGCACUGUGAGUGUAGCGCUCUUUGAUGAGCUCAUGUCCUAUCAGCUUGUUGGUAGGGUAACGGCCUACCAAGGCUUUGACGGGUAGCUGGUCUGAGAGGACGAUCAGCCACACUGGCACUGCGACACGGGCCAGACUCCUACGGGAGGCAGCAGUAAGGAAUAUUGCGCAAUGGGCGAAAGCCUGACGCAGCGACGCCGC
rnacentral:rRNA from 1 species